GGAGAUGUGGCUGACUGGAAAGGGCCUCUGAAUUGCAUUUAGAACAUCCCAGGGUCAAUUCCUGGCAUCUCCA
rnacentral:tRNA from 1 species